CAACACUCGUCAAAUAAUUAAGCAUGGGAUAUUUGACAGGUCUUUGCAUAUAAAAGAACGUAGCUUCGAUGAUAGUUUCACAACACAAUGACGACAAUGAAGGUUCUGCUAACAGUGUUUCUUCUUUCAACAUUGAUUGGAAUAGGUUGUGCUAGGACCUGUAGUAGCGUAGGGGGAUAUUGCAGUAAUGGAAGAUGUGCUAGAGGGUACUACGUGGUAAGAGGUGUAAGCGGCUGCUGGAAUAGACAAACUUGUUGUGCUAAAAGCUAUAAUAACAACGGAUGGGAUGGGGAUGAUAGAUAUGAGAGGAAUGAUAGGAAUGAUAGAAAUGAUUGGGAUUAAGAUUUUGACCUGACGAAAAAGAUUGAAAGCAUUUUGAACUUGUAUGCAUAUGAAAAUUGUGUUCUUUGUUUCUAUUCCUUUGGUUUGUUGCAAAGAACUUUAUUAAACAUAUUUUUAUUGAU